rnacentral:rRNA from 1 species
UCGGGAAUUUUGGGCAAUGGGGGAAACCCUGACCCAGCAACGCCGCGUGAAGGAUGAAGUAUUUCGGUAUGUAAACUUCGAAAGAAUAGGAAGAAUAAAUGACGGUACUAUUUAUAAGGUCCGGCUAACUACGUGCCAGCAGCCGCGGUAAUACGUAGGGACCAAGCGUUGUUCGGAUUUACUGGGCGUAAAGGGCGCGUAGGCGGCAUGACAAGUCACUUGUGAAAUCUCUGGGCUUAACCCAGAACGGCCAAGUGAUACUGUCGCGCUAGAGUGCAGAAGGGGCAAUCGGAAUUCUUGGUGUAGCGGUGAAAUGCGUAGAUAUCAAGAGGAACACCUGAGGCGAAGGCGGUUGCUGGGCUGAUACUGACGCUGAGUGCGCGAAAGCUAGGGUAGCAAACGGGAUUAGAUACCCAUGUAGUCCCUGAGCGGGCUG